rnacentral:rRNA from 1 species
CUUCUCCGCCGGCGACCGGCGGCACGGGUAGGAGUAACACGUAUGCAACCUGCCCCUGUCAGGGGGACAACCCGCCGAAAGGCGGGCUAAACCCGCGUACAUGCCACCGGGGCAUCCCGGAGGCAGGAAAGGCUUCGGCCGGACAGGGAUGGGCAUGCGGCGCAUUAGGCAGUAGGCGGGGUAACGGCCCACCUAACCGACGAUGCGUAGGGGUUCUGAGAGGAAGGUCCCCCACACUGGUACUGAGACACGGACCAGACUCCUACGGGAGGCAGCAG